UACGGAGGGUGCAAGCGUUAAUCGGAAUUACUGGGCGUAAAGCGCGCGUAGGCGGUCUGGUCAGUCAGAUGUGAAAGCCCCGGGCUCAACCUGGGAACUGCAUUUGAUACUGCCAGACUAGAGUGUAGUAGAGGGAAGCGGAAUUCCGAGUGUAGCGGUGAAAUGCGUAGAUAUUCGGAGGAACAUCAGUGGCGAAGGCGGCUUCCUGGACUAACACUGACGCUGAGGUGCGAAAGCGUGGGGAGCAAACAGG
rnacentral:rRNA from 1 species